GACAAUGCAUCCUUUGCACACAUACACAGAAACAGACAAUGCAAACCCGUACACACACAUGCAAACACACACACUUCUUUUCUAACAUACACACAAUGCACACACAUACAGACACACACCUUGCAUCCCUUAUGCAUACAAACACAGAUUCACACAAUGCAUCCCUUACACACAACCAGAAACACAUAAUACAUCCCUUAUACACAAAUACACACUGCUUCC